rnacentral:rRNA from 1 species
AACGAACGCUGGCGGCAUGCCUAACACAUGCAAGUCGAACGAGACCUUCGGGUCUAGUGGCGCACGGGUGCGUAACGCGUGGGAACCUGCCCUUAGGUUCGGAAUAACUCCCCGAAAGGGGUGCUAAUACCGGAUAAUGUCUUCGGACCAAAGAUUUAUCGCCUUUGGAUGGGCCCGCGUUGGAUUAGCUAGUUGGUAGGGUAAAAGCCUACCAAGGCGACGAUCCAUAGCUGGUCUGAGAGGAUGAUCAGCCACACUGGGACGGAGACACGGCCCAGACUCCUACGGGAGGGAGCAGUGGGGGAUAUUGGACAAUGGGCGAAAGGCUGAUCCAGCAAUGCCGCGUGAGUGAGGAAGGCCUUAGGGUUGUAAAGCUCUUUUACCCGGGAUGAUAAUGACAGUAACGGGAGAAUAAGCUCCGGCUAACUCCGUGC